rnacentral:tRNA from 1 species
GGUGGCUCAGUGGUAGAGUCCUUGCCUUGCAUGCAUGAAGCCCUGGGUUCGAUUCCUCAGCACCA